UGCAGCAGGGAAUUUUGCGCAAUGGGCGAAAGCCUGACGCAGCAACGCCGCGUGGGGGAAGAAGGCUCUCGGGUCGUAAACCCCUUUUGCCGGGGAAGAUCGUGACGGUACCCGGCGAGUAAGCCACGGCUAACUACGUGCUAGCAGCCGCGGUAAUACGUAGGUGGCAAGCGUUGUCCGGAUUUAUUGGGCGUAAAGGGCGCGCAGGCGGAUCGUUAAGUCCGAGGUGAAAUCUCCCGGCUCAACUGGGAGCGGUCUUUGGAUACUGGCGGACUGGAGGAGAGCAGAGGUGAGCGGAAUUCCCGGUGUAGUGGUGAAAUGCGUAGAUAUCGGGAGGAACACCCGUGGCGAAGGCGGCUCACUGGGCUCUACCUGACGCUGAGGCGCGAAAGCGUGGGGAGCGAACCGGAUUAGAUACCCGGGUAGUCCACGCCGUAAACGAUGGACACUAGGUGUGGGGGGUAUUGACCCCCUCUGUGCCGAAGCCAUCGCAAUAAGUGUCCCGCCUGGGGAGUACGGCCGCAAGGCUA
rnacentral:rRNA from 1 species